UUAUAAGAAUGUGAAGCUGCUAGGAGCUUAAACGGGUGGAACUGCGAAGGACGAACGAGGGCAUUCAACUCGUCCUGCGGACGGGACUGGGAUAUUCUCCCAGGGGCCGUGCUCUUUAACCCCAAGUGUAGCACGGGAGGCCCAGUCCCAGACAUAAGUCCGGAGGGCGGGCGUAAUUGUCCCCUCUAGUAGUGUGACGCAGCGAACCGUCUGCGGGAGCCCGGAGGGCCGGUGUCCGGAAUGGUACCCUCGGUCAGGAGGGGAAACCGGCUUGCCGCUGCUCUUAGGCUGGCUCUGAUGCCGCGACGGUUCCUUGAUGGAAGGGGCCCCCUUUCGCUGCGAAGUAGCGGUGAUCCACCCGACCCGUCUUGAAACACGGACCAAGGAGUCUAACCUGUGCGCGAGUCUAAGGGUUCCCCCGAGACCCGGAGGCGCAAUGAAAGUGAGCUGAAUUUUUUCCCAAGUCCUAUGCUGGCCGAUCCCCGGGGGUAAGAUCCCGGGGCGCAGGCCGAGGACUCGCCGCUGGGCGGCUGCCCUCGCCGGUCUCCCUCGCCCUUUUCGGGGGGCGGGACGGGGCUGGCUUGGGCGGUCCGCCGGCGAGUACCUUGAGAGCGCACAGGUUGGGACCCGAAA
rnacentral:rRNA from 1 species